GACGAACGCUGGCGGCGUGCCUAAUACAUGCAAGUUGAGCGCUGAAGGUUGGUACUUGUACCAACUGGAUGAGCAGCGAACGGGUGAGUAACGCGUGGGGAAUCUGCCUUUGAGCGGGGGACAACAUUUGGAAACGAAUGCUAAUACCGCAUAAAAACUUUAAACACAAGUUUUAAGUUUGAAAGAUGCAAUUGCAUCACUCAGAGAUGAUCCCGCGUUGUAUUAGCUAGUUGGUGAGGUAAAGGCUCACCAAGGCGAUGAUACAUAGCCGACCUGAGAGGGUGAUCGGCCACAUUGGGACUGAGACACGGCCCAAACUCCUACGGGAGGCAGCAGUAGGGAAUCUUCGGCAAUGGACGAAAGUCUGACCGAGCAACGCCGCGUGAGUGAAGAAGGGUUUCGGAUCGUAAAACUCUGUUGGUAGAGAAGAACGUUGGUGAGAGUGGAAAGCUCAUCAAGUGACGGUAACUACCCAGAAAGGGACGGCUAACUACGUG
rnacentral:rRNA from 1 species